GCCUACCUGCAUUAUUUUGGUUCAAACUUUAGCAUCCACAAAUGGGUUAUCAUUUGUACAUGGAGCACUCCUUCAUUUGGCCAUAUCAUUUUCUAAUUACAUCUCCUUCACCUACUGCAUCAAACUUUGCUGCUUUCAUAAUUACAAGUUCCUAAUACUGCUUGCAGAUCUCUUCCUUCACUAAUUUUAUACAACUAGCUCAUUGGGUGGCCACCCACGUAGCCUUAUAGUUUGGUAGAAUUAGGUGAGAUGAAGACAUGAGCAAGGAAAUUUCUUGAAAAGUAAGUUUAACCACACUAACCAAGUUGAAAGUUCAAAUACCCUAACCAACAAACACAGACAAUGAUCUGUUUAAUUUUCUUGAUUGGAGGGAUAUUAAUGGAGAAGUAGGUUUCCAGGGAAAAAGAGGGGUGAAGAGUGAAGAGUUGGAUCAUAUAGCAAGUGAUGAAACACCUGAAGGGUCAGGGCCAACAGAGAUGGAGAAGGUUCAGUGAUAAAAGGAAAAAUAAAAAAAAAAAAAAAAAGAAAAAAGAAAAAGAUGGGAACAGUUAGUUCAUGUGCUGCAAAAUGGUGGGUAGUGUCAACUUGCAGAGUACAGGAUUGGGGUGUUGUUUGCAGAAGCGUCUCCUCAGCCUGAGCCUGAACCUGACCCUGAACCUGAACCUGAGCCUGCACGAUUGCCAAUAUAUGUGAAUUGCUGAAAUCUGAUCUGAUCUGAUCUGAUCUCCCCUCCAGAGGUACUGCAUGUAUCAGCUUUUGGCAGCACUUGAAAUACUUGUAUCAUGCCUUUAUAUUUGUCUGGUUUUUAUAAUAAACAUGCUUUUUCAAGUCAUGAUAAAAGCCUAGGUGAAGGCUUUUUUAGUUUUUAUCACCAUUC